GAAUCGGUGGUCCAGUGGUAGAAUGCUCGCCUGCCACGCGGGCGUCCCGGGUUCGAUUCCCGGCCGAUGCA
rnacentral:tRNA from 1 species